CAGCGCCCGCACGAUUUUGCCAUCCCCAGGAGGAAAAACCACGUUCCCACGGAGGGCAGUGGAGACCGGAGGAUGGAGCAACCGGCAACUCACCACAAACAAAGGAUAUUGGACAGUGAAGACUUUGAAAGAAAAAUACCUUAAGUUGGAGGGAAAGAAAGAAAUGAAGAAAUAAGUGGAUAGUGAAGCUCUCACAAAGUUUAUGAGAAAAGAUUGAAAAAUAUACUGCCCAAUAUCAGCAGAAAAGAUUGGCGUUUGAGAAGUACUUCCAGGGGUGUAACAGGACUUCUAAAGGGACAGGAAGCUCCUACCAGCUCAUUUGAAACUACAAAGCUAACGUCUGUAAUGGACUAAAGAGUACGUAGCAAGACCCACAUGCAGCACAAGGAGAAAUAAUUGCACUGCUGUUAAGAUGUUUGAGAGUAAAGGGGGCUAAUGAGAAAAGAUAAAUAUGCUAUUCAAACAGUGAUUUGGAGGGGGAAAAAAAAUCCCACAUCCAUGUUGCCAUUUUCUUGUGAGGAAGUUAACGAACUACCUUCAAAGAACAAGUCCUUCCCUUGGAUCUCUUUUUAUGAGUUGUAAAACUAAAAGUGACAUUCACUAUCUUCUGAGUGCAGGCAGACUUUAUAUCAAGAAUAAAAGCUGUUUGUGAGGUGGUUAUUCUCUUAACUUUUAGCAAUAUGCAAUCUAUAAGCUUUCGAAGGUAAAUGAGGUGGUAGAAAUUCUG